rnacentral:misc_RNA from 1 species
CAGAUAAUAAAUAACAGAAUGAACGGUGGAAUGACAAGUACUCGAGAGUCGAGACGAUGAUGUUGUUCUGGAACCGCUCCAGGCCUUCUUGCCGGAAACGUCACCGGGAGCCGCCGCCGGUGCAGUGCGGCCAUAGAAAAAAAUCCAGUCAUCUUUACUUCCAGUCUUGGAUCGCCGACAUGGUCGCCUCUCCACGCUCUACCUCCACACACACACAACACACAGGUACACUACACAGACGCUAUGUACAUCUAGACACCUCAUGCAUGGUCUGGUCGCAUACCAUGUCUCCUUUGAUCCUUUUGUGUUUUACUGGCCAUCCCUUCUACCUCCCCACUGGCAUGCCAUCAUCUGAAACCCCACAACAAAUCAACCUUUCCCUGCCUCCCCUCCCUCCAACAGCCAUCCGGGAAUAUUCACACAUGGAGGAAAAUAUGUACAAGGAUCAUCUUAGUACAAAUCUAGAAAAAUAUUUUUUUUUUUUUGUUUUUCC